GCCUCGUUAGCGCAGUAGGCAGCGCGUCAGUCUCAUAAUCAAAUGUGGAAAUCUGAAGGUCGUGAGUUCGAUCCUCACACGGGGCA
rfam:Nematostella vectensis strain CH2 x CH6 NEMVEscaffold_41_Cont6726, whole genome shotgun sequence.